rnacentral:tRNA from 1 species
GCAGGUAUAGUUCAAUGGUAGAAUACGGGCUUCCCAAGCCUGGGGCGCGGGUCCGAUUCCCGUUACCUGCUCCA